UUUUGUUCCAGCUAAUUAGGGAGGGACUAGCAGUUCAGCUAAUUAUGAGGCAAAGAAUGGGAAUUUGGAAACUCUGUGCCAUAGGAAAACAAGGGGAGCAUCUGUGAGUCCUAGGGAAAGAAAUAGGAGUUAACAAUGACCUAAAACUGGUUUGCCUCAAAUAUCAGCUGAAAAUGUGCAAAGAGACUUGGCUGCAACAUAAGAUGAUCGUGAGAUAGAAUUCCUGAGUAGUUGACACAUAAACUGAUUUUAAAGAGGUACUUAAAAUAAAGGAUGCAAGAAUAAAUGUCAAGUUUUUCAGUUCAAAAUACGAAAGGACCAAUCUAAAUUAAAUCUGGAUGGAGGACACAUAUAAACCGAUGUUAAAGGAGGCUCAGAGUAGAGAGUGCGUUGAGUAAAGGAGGAAAAGGGCAACUUUACAGUGAAGAAAUCUGACAAACACU